rnacentral:lncRNA from 1 species
GGAGACAACGUAUUAUAGAAGCUUUACAAUGUUCAUCCCUUUACGAUGUAAAAAAUUUCGAAGGGCAACAUUCAGAUUGUCCUUAUGCUGACCUAGAAUCAAAGUGUUGCUCAAUCUGUUUUGCAAAUAUACUAUGUUUGCCAAACUUGUUCUGCUGACCGAUGCUUAAUCCAUCAUUCAGCAGACAUGAUUAAGCUCAGUAAGUUGCUCAAAGAUCAUAAUUUAUCGAGAAAUUUGGCGUCAAUCUUUGAUUUGACGUUUGCUUUACCCAACUACUUAGUUCUACAAGAGAACCUUUUUAAUGCCAGCAGAUAACUUUUACACUUUAAGAGCAGGUCUUUAUAUCGGAAGGUUUGUGAUAUAUUUUGUCCCUGCCGACUAUUGAAAGGAUACUAAUGAAUGAUGAAUAAUACGUAGUUUUUGCUUGUUUCAGAACAACAAACCAAUAAUGGAGAAAAAACGCCGAGCUCGAAUCAAUAAUUGCCUAAGCGAGCUGAAAUCAUUGAUCCUGGACGCAAUGAAGAAAGACCCGGCCCGGCACUCGAAGCUGGAGAAAGCGGAUAUCCUGGAGAUGACCGUAAAACACCUGCAAUCCGUGCAAAAACAACAACUAUCCGUAGCCAUGGCGGCCGACCCGACGGUGGUGCAUAAGUUCAAACAGGGUUCAGCGAGUGCGCGACAGAGGUAAACCGCUUCAUCGGGCGCCUAGACGGCAUCGACGCCGGGCUCAAACAACGGCUGGCCGCCCACCUCGGGAGCUGCGUCACCGGGCUUCAGCAGAUCGCCCCGACGACGAUGUUCCCGCCAUCGACCCCGGCCAUGCCCACCCCCGACGACCUGAACAACAACCAGCGGCUCCAGGCCCUCUCCGUCCAGCUCAUCCCCUCGCGACUCCCGACGGGGGAGUUCGCCUUCGUGCUCCCCAACAGCUCCCGCGGGGGGAGCGCCUUCACGGCCGUGCACAAGGACGACGACGCCGGCCUCCUCAGCCCCGAGUCGACCUCCUCCUCGCCCGUCUUUGACGCCCCCGGACACUCGGAGGUCACCUCCACCACCCUCGAGUUCAAGAUCCCGCAGAGGAACUUCAACAAGAGCCUCAUGAAGAACCGAAUCGUCUACCAGUCGCAAGCCGCCAAGCUGCGAGCGGAGGAAGGGCUCCUCAAAGAGCUUACCGAUUUCCCGAGGGAGGAGAGCAAUUAUGAGGACAAGCGCGAUCUCUUUGCGAGGUCGUUCCUGACGCCACAAAAGCUGAAACCUUUGACCGUAAUCACUUCUGAGGACCGGGGUUUCCACCCGACCGGCAAGAACCCGCUGGACUUCUCCAUGAAGCGUCUCGUAGAAUCGCCGACCAUAAAAUCGGAGCCGGAUCUCGAGUCCAGGCCGAUUGGCCUCCUCCUUCCAAAGAGUUUGAAACCCGAACUGGAUCUGAAACCCGAGUUGGAUCUGAGUCAAGAUUCAGGCUUCCUGAAGCGAGGCCACGACCGAAGUCCUGACGAAGAUGGACCCGGGGCCAAAAGGGCCAAGGUGGAGUCCUCGGAAGAGGACGGCGAUUCGCCGAGACCCAAGUCCGAGAGCUCGCCUCUGUCGUCGUCCACGUUGUCCACGUCCACCCUGUCCACGUCUACCUUGUCUACGUCAAGCGGAUCGUCCAGCGUCGAGAAGGACAGCAUGUGGCGACCCUGGUGAUGUUUCCUCAUCGGGUCUCAGGUUAAUACUCCCAGAGCUCGCCUUUGUCGUCAUCCACGCUGCCUUCGUCCACACUGUCCACGCCCAGCGCUCCGGGCGCGCGAGAAAGACAGUAUUUGGCAACUGUGGUGACGUAUAUUUCUUGGGUCUCAGGUUAAGAAUCCACGGCUCGGCUGUGAUGAUAUGAAAUGGAGCAGGGGUGCCAUUUGGAGGGAAAGGGUAUGAGGUAGCAAACUGUCCCAGCUUGCAUCGAAAAUUUGACAAUUUUAGUUUUAUCAAUUUCGUGUUCAUUUAUUAAUUUUUUGUCAAAUGCGCAAUUAUUUUUCCGUUUAUCGUCAUUGUUUAAAAAUAAUCCUUGCGUUAAAAAUUAAAACGUAUACCGUGUUUCGCGGCCAACAUGGCUUACAUUUCUCCGAUAAAUAUUUUUAAGAUUGACCUUACCCAAGGGUAUACACCGAGAAUUGUAUAACUUGUUCUCAGCUUUCAUUUUAAGAAUUCUUUGAAAUUGCUUCCUCUGUAAAGAACAAAUUCUCUCCCCCCCUCCCAAGUCUGAGCCGUGGACUAUAUUUUAAGUACGUGAAUGAAAAAGACUUCUUAGAAUUAAUAAUUGUUUUUCGUAGUUUUAAAUUAUUUUAAUUAUUUCUAUUCUGAAUUAACUCGUUAGUGAUUUAUUUUGUACCUCAGGAAUCGUCCCAGCUUUAAUUUAUGAUUGGAUAAAGGUUCGCAGAAAGGAAUCAAGGCGCAGUAUGGAAAAUGUGUCACGAAGGAAUUCAAACGUAAUAUAAGCAUGGCAUUCUCAUGCCACAAAACCAAAAUCCCACAAAUAAUUUCUGGUAAUCCAAAUACUUACCCAAAGUUAAUUUUUCACACUGAGUGUUGGGCAAUCUCAAACCUCAAUCUCAAACCUCUAUUCUCUGUUAUAAUAACGUAAUGUGACUUGGUGCCUCUCUGUUUUAAAGUCACCUCAAUUUUAAUACUGGAUAUUAGAUUUUUCUAAGGAUAUGCAGUAUGCCAGUUAUGAUAUGCGAUUGAAAAAAAAAAUGAAUUCUAAGUCUGGGAAUUGGUAUCCAUUCUUGUUACCCUUUUGUAUUUUGUAUUUUUGUUGAACUAGCUCAUGUCUGUGAAUAUAUUUAAUGCUCCUGUAAAACACUUUUAACGUGCCUUUAUAAUCACGUAUGUCUUUCUGGAUAAAGUGAAUAAUUUGCACGAUGUAAAAAUAAAUUGUUAUUGAAAAGCUUAAAUAGGUUCCUUUUUCUCAGGCAUAAACACCAUAAUGUCACUGAUGAAAGUUCAAAAACGCAUGCAUGUAUGUGCGUCCAAUUCUGCAAAUUUAAAUAUGAGACACUCUACUCUAUUGAUUGUUUUCUA